rnacentral:tRNA from 1 species
GUCUAGCGGUUAGGACACCGCCCUUUCACGGCGGUAACAGGGGUUCGAUUCCCCUUGGGCGUACCA